AUUGAACGCUGGCGGCAGGCCUAACACAUGCAAGUCGAGCGGAUGAAUGGAGCUUGCUCCUGGAUUCAGCGUCGGACGGGUGAGUAAUGCCUAGGAAUCUUCCUGGUAGUGGGGGAUAACGGCCGGAAACGGGCGCUAAUACCGCAUACGUCCUGAGGGGGAAAGUGGGGGAUCUUCGGACCUCACGCUAUCAGAUGAGCCUAGGUCGGAUUAGCUAGUUGGUGGGGUAAAGGCCUACCAAGGCGACGAUCCGUAACUGGUCUGAGAGGAUGAUCAGUCACACUGGAACUGAGACACGGUUCAGACUCCUACGGGAGGCAGCAGUGGGGAAUAUUGGACAAUGGGCGAAAGCCUGAUCCAGCCAUGCUGCGUGUGUGAAGAAGGUCUCCGGAUUGUAAAGCACUUUAAGUUGGGAGGACGGGCAGUAAGUUAAUACCUUGCUGUUUUGACGUAACCAACAGAAUAAGCACCGGCUAACUUCGUG
rnacentral:rRNA from 1 species